rnacentral:lncRNA from 1 species
UCUGGAAAACAUCAAGGAAAGGAUUUAGAGCAAGAACUAAAUACAUUAGUUGCUCUAAUACUAAAACCAGGUUGGGGCAAGGGUGAGAGGCCAUAAUACAAACGCUAAAAGUUCUUUAAAAGUAGAUAUAAUGCAGGUUUUUAUUGAGAAAGUGAAAAAUAAAGAAAAAAGUAGAAUAAAUUCAUUGACUGUCACAUAGACAGGAGAGAUGAGUCAAAGACUACAUUUAAACCUGACAACAAAAUAGUAGAUGCCUAAAUAUGAGAAAAGGAGACUGCAGGUACCAUAAAAAGUAGAAUGUACUAGAACAACCAUACACAUUCUUAAAUGAAUGAUGAAAUACCAAAAAGAAAAAUAAGCAAAGAACAGAUAACAGAAAGAAGCACAGCAAAUACAACAUAAUACUGACAGUAAAAAUGACAAAAGAACAUGACAAAGUUGGCAGAGAACGUUGGUCAUGCUAAUUAACAUAAAUGUACUUGUCUAUUAAAAGAAAGUUGGCUCAAAGAUCAAAAGCCAAAGAAAUGGUGAACACAAAAGAAACAUCUAAAGUGAAUGAUUCAAAAUGCUAAAAAUAAAGGGAUGCACAAGUUAUAUCAGGCAAAUGGAAAUAAUAGGAAAGAAAGAUUAUGAUUCUAACAUUAGACAAAGGAAAAUUCAAGCCAGUGGCCUGGAAGGGAAAGUGCAGAAAUAGCUCAAAUACGUACGGAAGUUUAGUAUAUUAUAAAGCCUGGCAUCUCAAAUCAUUGAGGAACAGACAAACUUUUUAACAAAUGGCAUUAAGACAACUGAAAUAUCUUUGAGGAGAUGAUAAAAGUGGCUUCUUUCUUCAUAUCAUUCAGCAGAAUAAACUCCAAAUACAUUUUUAAAAAUGUAAAAGAUGGAAUCGUAUAGGUACUGGGUGUGAGGAAAGGCUUUCUAACUAGGGUUAAAGAUCUAGCUGCAAUGAAAACAAACCAGAUUAUUUAACUACAUUAAAAUAAACAUUAAUACAGCAAAACAAAACAAAACAAUAUAAAACAAAAAAACACCAUAAGUAAAGUCAAAAGACGGGUGUGCAGCAGAGCUAGGACUGCUCAAAAACAGAUGGAAGCAUAAUAAAAAAGCCCAAAGCCAGCAUAAAGGGGCUCUUAUUGACCAAAUUUGGAAUGAAAGGGGCAUUAAAAUUAAUAUGAAAAAGUGAUUGCCUUGAAUGAGUACAGGGAUUAACUAGGAAGGAACUUGGGGAAACUUUUUGUGGCAUUGGAAAUGUUCUAUAUUUUGAUAAGGGUGUGAAUCCUAUGGGUGUAUAUGCUUAUCCAAACUCACCUGACAGUAUAUGUAAGAUUGGGGCACUGCGCUGUAUGUAAAUUAUACCUCAAUUCUUAGAAAAAUUAUAAGAAUGGAUUAAAACAUAUUGAACCUUAAAAAUCCAUGAGUUCAUAAUGAUAAUAAAAAACAAAAGCUGGGAGAAGAAAAGUUCUUUUCCACAGAAGAAUGUUACCCAGCAAAUGUAAAAGAAUUGCAGAGUUAGAAAACCUCAGUUUUUCAACCACCAAUGUAAUAAUUGAUUCAGGCAAGGAUAAUCAAUGGAUGCUAAAACAUUAAGUGAAUGGGAAUGGAUUUUAGAAAUUAGGACAUUCAAAUAAUCUCAAAGUGUUACCCAACAGGUAAAAGGAAAAGUACCUUUGAAAAUGUCAAACUCUGGCAGACACCAGCUUAACCAAAUGAUGGAACUUAAUUAACUUCAACAGUAAUGGGACAGAUUGACAUUACCUGCUUCAUCCUGUGGUGCUGUUAUUAGGAUGCAGCCCCAUCUAUAUGUUAUGCCCACCAAAAAUGCUAACCUGAAUUUCAUCAUGAAGAAGCAUUCAGACAGAUCCUAACCAUCAGGCAUUCUUCAAAGGAACU